UCUAGCACGGCAUUGCAACGCUCACUGGACUCUCGUCUGGUUGACUUCUCUGCCUUUCCUCUCCUUGCUUUCUCUAUCUCUUUGUAUACAAUGUACUACCUUGUGGCAGAGAAAGCGAUCUCCUCUUCCAGAGUUCAAUUAUUUGUCAAGCAAACAUUUUACUCUUCCAACAACUACUGCAUAAAUGGGAAAACGAAACCGAUUUUGUUUUGUUCUCCGCGCUCCCAGCACCAGGUGGAACCACGCGCGGCGCUUCCGAUCUCGGAGGAUUUAACAAGACGAGCGGUUGACGGAGCUGCAUUGUGUAGUCAGCCGGCUUUUACCGUUUUACGUUGUACAGUUUGUUAGUUUACCGUAAAUAUGUCUUGAUUUGUACUCAAGAGUGGAGCAAGGCCCUAGGGAACAGAGAUUGACGCAUCGUGAGCGAAGAACAGACGCGAUGGAUGGUUAGGCUGCUUGACUCUCGGCUGUACGACUCUCGGCAUGUUAGGACUGGCAAAGUUCCGAAUUUGUCGCGGUGUGGUGUACGCUUCUGUGCACGUCAAGUGCCGUCCUAGCGCGGGGAUGUUUGAACGGAAUGUGUCCCUUCGUCUACAAAACUCUGCACGCUGCGGCAUCGAAGAAGUCCUGUGAACGGGUGCACGUAUGCGCUUGGAUACGGGAUAGCCUGCCCUCAACGGAUGUUCAGCAGUGUACGCACGCUGCGCGUACGCGUACGUAUGAGACUAGUUGCUGGUGUCCUGCUGGAGCUGAGAAGAAAUCUGCUGCCUGCCAUGAGGCCAUGUCUCUCAAGUUACCGCAAUAUUAUUGCCUUCAAACCUGUCGAGACAAGGUUUCUUUACAUGGCCAUGGCCCUCAAGGAAGAAACCGAGACUGCAGACUGCCAACGUUCAUUCCUGUCCUGGCAAAGACGGGCCAGCAGUAACCAGCUGGGUUUUACAAAGUGAACUCAUCACAGCUUGAGCCACUCCAUGCCACAAGCAGUUGCUCGUCGAGCCACCGUGCAAAGGUUCCUUGGGGCACAAGUCCAACUCAGCGCCACCACCUCUCUUCUGCAGUUUUUCUACCUACUUAGCUAACCAGCAGCAAGUUUGUCCUUGCAAGGCAUGUGGGAACAGCUUUCACCAGGAAACAGUGCAAGACGAGUGGUCGAAGAAAAUUAAAUUGCUUCUGUGAUCUAAAGUACUAAACGAAUAAAAUU